rnacentral:rRNA from 1 species
UAGGGAAUCUUCGGCAAUGGACGAAAGUCUGACCGAGCAACGCCGCGUGAGUGAAGAAGGUUUUCGGAUCGUAAAACUCUGUUGUUAGAGAAGAACAAGGACGUUAGUAACUGAACGUCCCCUGACGGUAUCUAACCAGAAAGCCACGGCUAACUACGUGCCAGCAGCCGCGGUAAUACGUAGGUGGCAAGCGUUGUCCGGAUUUAUUGGGCGUAAAGCGAGCGCAGGCGGUUUCUUAAGUCUGAUGUGAAAGCCCCCGGCUCAACCGGGGAGGGUCAUUGGAAACUGGGAGAAUGGAGUGCGGAAGAGGAGAGUGGAAUUCCAUGUGUAGCGGUGAAAUGCGUAGAUAUAUGGAGGAACACCAGUGGCGAGGGCGGCUCUCUGGUCUGUAACUGACGCUGAGGCUCGAAAGCGUGGGGAGCAAACAGG